GCACCCUUAGCUCAGUUGGUUAGAGCGCCCCCUUCACACGGGUGAGGCCGUACGUUCGAAUCGUACAGGGUGCA
rfam:Parcubacteria (Adlerbacteria) bacterium GW2011_GWA1_54_10 TY83_C0002, whole genome shotgun sequence.